CCUACGGGUGGCAGCAGUGAGGAAUUUUGGUCAAUGGACGGAAGUCUGAACCAGCUAUGCCGCGUGCAGGAUGACGGCCCUAUGAGUUGUAAACUGCUUUUGUACAAGGGUAAACCUGCAUACGUGUAUUUAGCUGAAAGUACUGUACGAAUAAGGUUCGGCUAACUCCGCUCCAGCACCCGCGGUAAUACGGUGGAUCCAAGCGUUACCCGGAUUUCUUGGUUUUAAAGGGUGCGUAGGCGGAUUGAUAAGUUAGAGGUGAAAUGUCCGGGCUUAACUCGGGAACUGCCUCUAAUACUGUUGGUCUAGAGAGUAGAAGCGGUAGGCGGAAUGUAUGGUGUAGCGGUGAAAUGCUUAGAUAU
rnacentral:rRNA from 1 species